rnacentral:lncRNA from 1 species
GCUCCUUAUGCUUUGAAAUGGUGUGUGAUAAAAGUCGGGGUGGUUGUUCCUUGAUGACAAAGUAAGGGCUCGAAAAAUGAAAUGAGACACAAUAUUUUAUUUAUUUUUGAAAAAUAUGAUAGGGAUGACACCUGGAUUUAAAUCCAGAUGGGUUUAUGAGUCGUAAGGCGGAAAGACCUAGUGAAGUUGACCUGGCGCGCAGGUCACAAGCAUCUAAUGUUGCAUCCUCGCCCGCCCCUGCUUCCCUUCGUCCUUUGUAGGCAUUUGUCAGCCGCAGCC